rnacentral:rRNA from 1 species
GAUGAACGCUGGCGGCGUGCUUAACACAUGCAAGUCGAACGAUGAAGCCCAGCUUGCUGGGUGGAUUAGUGGCGAACGGGUGAGUAACACGUGAGUAACCUGCCCCCGACUCUGGGAUAAGCCCGGGAAACUGGGUCUAAUACCGGAUAUGACCAUGGAGCGCAUGUUUUGUGGUGGAAAGAUUUAUCGGUGGGGGAUGGACUCGCGGCCUAUCAGCUUGUUGGUGAGGUAAUGGCUCACCAAGGCGACGACGGGUAGCCGGCCUGAGAGGGUGAACGGCCACACUGGGACUGAGACACGGCCCAGACUCCUACGGGAGGCAGCAGUGGGGAAUAUUGCACAAUGGGCGCAAGCCUGAUGCAGCGACGCCGCGUGAGGGAUGACGGCCUUCGGGUUGUAAACCUCUUUCAGUAGGGAAGAAGCGAAAGUGACGGUACCUGCAGAAGAAGCGCCGGCUAACUACGUGCCAGCAGCCGCGGUAAGAC